rnacentral:rRNA from 1 species
GACGAACGCUGGCGGCGUGCUUAACACAUGCAAGUUGAACGGUAUGACAUGGAAGCUUGCUGAAGUGUCAUAUAGUAGCGGACGGGUGAGUAAUGCAUGAGAAGCUGCCAUUGGGAGGGGGACAACAGUUGGAAACGGCUGCUAAUACCCCGUAUGCCGGAAGGUGAAAGGGAGCGAUCCGCCCGAUGAGGAGCUCAUGUCCUAUCAGCUAGUUGGUGGGGUAAGGGCCUCCCAAGGCGACGAUCUGUAGCGGGUCUGAGGGGAUGAUCCGCAACACUGGGAAGGAGACACGGCCCAGACUCCUACGGGAGGCAGCAGUGGGGAAUAUUGGACAAUGGGGGGAACCCUGAUCCAGCCAUGCCGCGUGUGUGAAGAAGGCCUUUUGGUUGUAAAGCACUUGAAGCGAGGAGGAGGCUACCGAGAUUAAUACUCUUGGAUAGUGGACGUUACUCGCAGAAUAAGCACCGGCUAACUCUGUGCCAGCAGCCGCCGUAA